AAUCAACGCUGGCGGCGUGCCUCAGACAUGCAAGUCGAACGAUUAAAGCUCUCUUCGGAGAGUGUAUAGAGUGGCGCACGGGUGAGUAACACGUAAGUAAUCUGCCUUCGAGUGGGGAAUAACCCGGGGAAACCCGAGCUAAUACCGCAUAAUGCAGCGGCACCGCAAGGUGACAGUUGUUAAAGGAGUAAUCCGCUUGAAGAGGAGCUUGCGGCAGAUUAGCAGUUGGUAAGGUAAUGGCUUACCAAGGCUACGAUCUGUAACCGGUCUUAGAGGACGGUCGGUCACACUGACACUGAAUAACGGGUCAGACUCCUACGGGGAGGCAGCAGUCGGGAAUUUUGGGCAAUGGGCGAAAGCCUGACCCAGC
rnacentral:rRNA from 1 species